rnacentral:rRNA from 1 species
AUUGAACGCUGGCGGAAUGCUUUACACAUGCAAGUCGAGCGGCAGCGCGGGGCAACCUGGCGGCGAGCGGCGAACGGGUGAGUAAUACAUCGGAACGUACCCUGUUGUGGGGGAUAACGAAUCGAAAGAUUCGCUAAUACCGCAUACGACCUGAGGGUGAAAGUGGGGGAUCGCAAGACCUCACGCGAUAGGAGCGGCCGAUGUCGGAUUAGCUAGGUGGUGGGGUAAAGGCUCACCAAGGCGACGAUCCGUAGCGGGUCUGAGAGGACGGCCCGCCACACUGGAACUGAGACACGGUCCAGACUCCUACGGGAGGCAGCAGUGGGGAAUUUUGGACAAUGGGGGCAACCCUGAUUCAGCCAUUCCGCGUGAGCGAAGAAGGCCUUCGGGUUGUAAAGCUCUUUCGGCAGGAACGAAACGGUCCUAGUUAAUACCUGGGGCUAAUGACGGUACCUGAAGAAGAAGCACCGGCUAACUACGUGCCAGCAGCCGCGGUAA